rnacentral:rRNA from 1 species
UACGAAGGGGGCUAGCGUUGUUCGGAAUUACUGGGCGUAAAGCGCACGUAGGCGGAUACUUAAGUCAGGGGUGAAAUCCCGGGGCUCAACCCCGGAACUGCCUUUGAUACUGGGUAUCUCGAGUCCGGAAGAGGUGAGUGGAAUUCCGAGUGUAGAGGUGAAAUUCGUAGAUAUUCGGAGGAACACCAGUGGCGAAGGCGAGUCCCUGGACAACACCUGACACUGAGGCACGAAAGCCGGGGGAGCAAACAGG